rnacentral:rRNA from 1 species
ACGUAGGGUGCAAGCGUUAAUCGGAAUUACUGGGCGUAAAGCGUGCGCAGGCGGUUCGGAAAGAAGGAUGUGAAAUCCCCGGGCUCAACCUUGGAACUGCAUUCUUAACUGUAUGACUAGAGUGUGGCAGAGGGGGGUGGAAUUCCGCGUGUAGCAGUGAAAUGCGUAGAGAUGUGGAGGAACACCGAUGGCGAAGGCAGCCCCCUGGGAUAAUACUGACGCUCAUGCACGAAAGCGUGGGGAGCAAACAG